GGGAUGACCCGGACCGUGGACCCGUCCUGGACGAACUCCACCCGGCCGUCGCCCACCGUGAAGGUCAGGCGCCGGUUGACCCGGUAGGCGCCACCCUUGGUCUCGACCCAGGGAAGCAUCCGCAGCAGCCAGCGGGAGGUGAUCUCCUGCAUCUGCGGGGCGGACUUGGUGGUCGUCGCGAGGUUCCGCGCAGCCGCCGUGCCCAGACUCUGCUGCGGUGGCGU
rnacentral:antisense_RNA from 1 species